AUGAGGCAAAGAAAUGUCUCAAACGAGAGGGGAGGGCGGCUGCCGGAAGAUCUGGGCUUUUUUUCCACGCGAUCCCAUAUUCCCCCCCCCCGACGAAGAAAUGGUUUGGCGCUAGGUGCCCUGAGCUGCCUCUCCAAAGCAGAAGCGGUGUCCUCAGAGAGGGGGCCACACUCUCCAUUACCAUGGCAACUGCCACUUACCAUGCCGAGCGCUCCGUCUGCAUCACGCCACGUCACCCUCCCAUGACGCCGACGGUGGACAGCGAUUACCCCAUUUUGCAGUGUCUUUUUACCGGAUUUUAAGAACCCAUCAUGGCAGCUUCCUACCUUAAGAAAACCCAACAACCAAAAAGAAAAAGAAAAAGAAAAAGAAAAAAAAAAACCCCAAACACCACCACUUUUGGAGAAUAUGCUCAGAGGGAACGUCUGCUUGCACCCCAGUGAUGCUUCUGACCCAGACCUUGCCUGAGGGAUGACAUAGACACCAGGUGAGGCCCCCCCAUGCUCCACAGGACCCUUGUCUCCUUUUAAGACGGUCGAGAGGAAUUUUUGUUUUCCGGGGCCCGGGGAAAAUCAUGCAAAGCAACUACUCAAAUCAGGCAACCCCAGGAAGAGCCACCCCCUUCCACCUGCCCCAUCUCCCUGGCCAAUAUUUGCCUCUUUCCUUUCCCGUCAAGGGCACCAUGGCCAAGGAGACCAGACUUGAGGGCCCCAAGUCUCUCCCGGUCUGGCCCCUUGGUCCUCUUGAGCAGCUCAGUGACGUAAAGGCAUCUCCCCACCGGUCCCUCCAGCUGGGUCAGGCGUCUGUGCAGAGCCUAGGGCUGAGACUAAGGUCUUCUCCUCCAGCCACUCCCAACUUGGCUUUUCUUUUUCCUCUUGUCUCUUCUCACACUCUUUUUCCUUGUGUCUACCUAUCCAUUUCCUCCUGUCUGACAGUUCUCAAGAUGUCCUCAUUUCCUGGGGUGGUGGGGGGAGGCCCCCAAGGAGAUACGGCUGCUCCUUUCUUUGUCUGUACAUAUUAAUGCACCAGCCGGGCCAGGUCCUGCCUGGGCAAUUGGGAGCUCUCUCCG